rnacentral:rRNA from 1 species
UACGUAGGGUGCAAGCGUUGUCCGGAAUUAUUGGGCGUAAAGAGCUCGUAGGCGGUCUGUCGCGUCUGCUGUGAAAUCUCAGGGCUUAACCCUGAGCUUGCAGUGGGUACGGGCAGACUAGAGUGCGGUAGGGGAGACUGGAAUUCCUGGUGUAGCGGUGAAAUGCGCAGAUAUCAGGAGGAACACCGGUGGCGAAGGCGGGGUCUC